rnacentral:lncRNA from 1 species
CAAUUGACCUUUCGAGAUUUUUUCGUUUCUAAGAAAUUUGACCUUUCGAGUUAACUAGAAAUACCCAAUGCUCUUUAAAUCGUCUCGGUAGGUAACGAGAUCCAGAUCUUCCUCUUGUUAUCGUUUUUUCUUAUGUACAUAGUUUGCUUGUUACGGCUCCUAACGAAUGAAAUUCGUCAAAAUAAGACUAACUUUGUCUAUAUUGAUUGCAUGACGUCUCGCAUUACAUCAAGUGUAAGAGGGGUACGUUUUUUCUUAUGUACAUAGUUUGCUUGUUAGU